AGUCGGUGGGGUAACCUUUUUGGAGCCAGCCGCCUAAGGUGGGACAGAUGAUUGGGGUGAAGCCGUAACAAGGUAGCCGUAUCGGAAGGUGCGGCUGGAUCACCUCCUUUCU
rnacentral:rRNA from 4 species